GAUGAACGCUGGCGGCGUGCCUAACACAUGCAAGUCGAGCGAACAGACUAGGAGCUUGCUUUCCUGACGUUAGCGGCGGAUGGGUGAGCAACACGUGGAUAACCGACUUAUAAGACUGGGAUAACCUGGGGAAACAGGAGCUAAUACCGGUUAUAAUACUGAAUCGGACGGUACAAUCGCGAAAUACGGUUUUGCAGACACCUAUAGAAGGAUCUGCGCCGCAUUGGCUAGAUGGGAAGGUAACGGGAUACGAAGGCAACGAUGGGUAGCCGACCUGAGAGCGUGAUCGGCCACACUAGAACUGAGGCACAGUCCAGACUCCUGGGAGAGGCAGCAGUAGGAAAUCUUCCGCGAUGGGGGAGAGCCGAACGGAGCAACACGGCGUAAGUGAUGAUGGUCUGCGGAUCGUAGAGCGCAGUUGUUAGGGGGGAACAAAUGUGUAAGUAGCAGUGCACAUCUUGACGGUACCUGAUCAAGAAGCCACGGCUAACUACGUG
rnacentral:rRNA from 1 species